rnacentral:sRNA from 1 species
CAUUGCCCUGCACUUUAGCUCUGAAAAUGGAGUUGGAGUGAGUCCUCCUGUUCCAUGUGUGAAUGCAGCAAGGCUGAGAGAGAGACUUUAAUAAACAAGUGUCUCCUGGCAGAGAUGGAAUUGCAGUUAUCAGCCUUAGCGUUUGCUGAGCUGUCCCUUCUCUCAGCCAAUGUUUACCAUUUUUGGAGCAUUUCUGUGGUUGAUGUUGUAGUAGAGCCUGGGAAUAGUGCAAGAAAGAAAACUGUAUGUCUAUUCACACUCCCCCCCACCCCCCAUUUAAUUUUGGCUAACAGUUUAAAUUGCUUUUUGCAUCUUUGCUUUUGGAGUUUCUUAGAGGUGGGCAUAGGUAGCAACAAUGACUACCUCUAUUUUCUAACCUUUCCCCUUCUCCCCUUCCUAGUCCCUAGGGGAAGGUAAUGCGUAGGGACAUGGCAGAAGGCAAGUAGAUGAAGGGGAAAGAGGAGACAAAAGGACCUGGAUGGCCCACAGACGUAAGCACUUGUGUUCUGAGUGGUUGAGAAAGGACUUUUGAAAGGAUCUUGGCAUUUUGUUCUAAUUUUUACUCUGAUGGUCUAACUUCAAACUUGUGGCUGUUAAUUCAAAACUCUAUGCCAUCGGAGGGCAGGCCGUUUCUAACGUUGAGUGUUACAACCCCGAGCAGGAUGCAUGGAAUUUUGUGGCACCCUUACCCAAUCCUCUGGCUGAGUUCUCUGCCUGUGAGUGUAAGGGAAAAAUUUAUGUCAUUGGAGGAUACACUACCAGAGGUAAGUGAAGGGACCAGGUAGG